rnacentral:rRNA from 1 species
CAUGCAAGUCGAGCGGUAGCACAGAGAGCUUGCUCUCGGGUGACGAGCGGCGGACGGGUGAGUAAUGUCUGGGAAACUGCCUGAUGGAGGGGGAUAACUACUGGAAACGGUAGCUAAUACCGCAUAACGUCGCAAGACCAAAGUGGGGGACCUUCGGGCCUCAUGCCAUCAGAUGUGCCCAGAUGGGAUUAGCUAGUAGGUGGGGUAAUGGCUCACCUAGGCGACGAUCCCUAGCUGGUCUGAGAGGAUGACCAG